GACGAACGCUGGCGGCGUGCUUAACACAUGCAAGUCGGACGGACAGGCCCUGCUUUUGUGGGGUGCUCGAGUGGCGAACGGGUGAGUAACACGUGAGUAACCUGCCCUUGACUUUGGGAUAACUUCAGGAAACUGGGGCUAAUACCGGAUCGGAGCUCCUGCUGCAUGGUGGGGGUUGGAAAGUUUCGGCGGUUGGGGAUGGACUCGCGGCUUAUCAGCUUGUUGGUGGGGUAGUGGCUUACCAAGGCUUUGACGGGUAGCCGGCCUGAGAGGGUGACCGGCCACAUUGGGACUGAGAUACGGCCCAGACUCCUACGGGAGGCAGCAGUGGGGAAUAUUGCACAAUGGGCGGAAGCCUGAUGCAGCAACGCCGCGUGCGGGAUGACGGCCUUCGGGUUGUAAACCGCUUUCGCCUGUGACGAAGCGUGAGUGACGGUAAUGGGUAAAGAAGCACCGGCUAACUACGUG
rnacentral:rRNA from 1 species